GACGAACGCUGGCGGCGUGCUUAACACAUGCAAGUCGAACGGAAAGGCCCUGCUUUUGUGGGGUGCUCGAGUGGCGAACGGGUGAGUAACACGUGAGUAACCUGCCCUUGACUUUGGGAUAACUUCAGGAAACUGGGGCUAAUACCGGAUAGGAGCUCCUGCUGCAUGGUGGGGGUUGGAAAGUUUCGGCGGUUGGGGAUGGACUCGCGGCUUAUCAGCUUGUUGGUGGGGUAGUGGCUUACCAAGGCUUUGACGGGUAGCCGGCCUGAGAGGGUGACCGGCCACAAUGGGACUGAGAUACGGCGCAGACUCCAACGGGAGGCAGCAGUGGGGAAUAUUGCACAAUGGGCGGAAGCCUGAUGCAGCAACGCCGCGUGCGGGAUGACGGCCUUCGGGUUGUAAACCGAUUUCGCCUGUGACGAAGCGUGAGUGACGGUAAUGGGUAAAGAAGCACCGGCUAACUACGUG
rnacentral:rRNA from 1 species